UUGCUUCGGCAGCACAUAUACUAAAAUCAGAACUAUACAGAGGAGAUUAGCAUGGCUCCUGUGCAAGGAUGACACACAAAUUCAUGGGGCAUUCCAUAUUUCU